rnacentral:rRNA from 1 species
UGGGGGAUAUUGCACAAUGGAGGAAACUCUGAUGCAGCAACGCCGCGUGAAGGAUGAAGGUCUUCGGAUUGUAAACUUUUGUACUUGGGGACGAUAAUGACGGUACCCAAGCAGCAAGCUCCGGCUAACUACGUGCCAGCAGCCGCGGUAAUACGUAGGGAGCAAGCGUUGUCCGGAUUUACUGGGUGUAAAGGGUGCGUAGGCGGCUAUGCAAGUCAGUUGUGAAAACUAUGGGCUCAAUCCAUAGCCUGCAAUUGAAACUGCGUGGCUUGAGUGAAGUAGAGGUAGGUGGAAUUCCCGGUGUAGCGGUGAAAUGCGUAGAGAUCGGGAGGAACACCAGUGGCGAAGGCGACCUACUGGGCUUUAAC